UGCCGGGUCUUACGCAAUGAAAUUUUGUGAACCCCGUCAGGUCCGGGAGGAAGCAGCGGUAAGCGAACCCUUUCGUGUGCCGUAAGCCCCCCGGCGGUA
rnacentral:SRP_RNA from 1 species